GACGAACGCUGGCGGCGUGCCUAAUACAUGCAAGUAGAACGCACAGUUUAUACCGUAGCUUGCUACACCAUAAACUGUGAGUUGCGAACGGGUGAGUAACGCGUAGGUAACCUGCCUGGUAGCGGGGGAUAACUAUUGGAAACGAUAGCUAAUACCGCAUAAUAUUAAUUAUUGCAUGAUAAUUGAUUGAAAGAUGCAAUUGCAUCACUACCAGAUGGACCUGCGUUGUAUUAGCUAGUAGGUGAGGUAACGGCUCACCUAGGCGACGAUACAUAGCCGACCUGAGAGGGUGAUCGGCCACACUGGGACUGAGACACGGCCCAGACUCCUACGGGAGGCAGCAGUAGGGAAUCUUCGGCAAUGGACGAAAGUCUGACCGAGCAACGCCGCGUGAGUGAAGAAGGUUUUCGGAUCGUAAAGCUCUGUUGUAAGAGAAGAACGGGUGUGAGAGUGGAAAGUUCACUCUGUGACGGUAUCUUACCAGAAAGGGACGGCUAACUACGUG
rnacentral:rRNA from 1 species